AUAAUAAGUGUUGAGGGAAAAGUAUAUUACAAUUAAAUGUUAUUAAUUAGAUGAAUUAGUUGGAAUGCUAAACCAGAGAAAGUGAAAGUCUUGUAAUUAAAAAUUUAUACAAUUAAACUUAAAUCCCAAGUAACAUGGAGCACGUGAAAUUCCGUGUGAAUCAGCGAGGUCCACCUCGUAAAGCUAAAUAUUAUUGAAUGACCGAUAGUGAAAUAGUACCGUGAGGGAAAGGUGAAA
rnacentral:rRNA from 1 species